rnacentral:rRNA from 1 species
AACGGCCAUACCAUGCUGAAUAUACCGGUUCUCGUUAGAUCACCGAAGUCAAGCAUCAUUGGGCGCGGUCAGUACUUGGGUGAGUGACCACCUGGGAACACCGUGUGCCGUU